rnacentral:rRNA from 1 species
ACUGAACGCUGGCGGCAGGCCUAACACAUGCAAGUCGAGCGAGCGGCGGACGGGUGAGUAAUGUCUGGGAAACUGCCCGAUGGAGGGGGAUAACCACUGGAAACGGUAGCCAAUACCGCAUACUAUCAGAUGUGCCCAGAUGGGAUUAGCUGGUAGGUUGGGUAACGGCUAACCUAGGCGACGAUCCCUAGCUGGUCUGAGAGGCUGACCAGCCACACUGGAACUGAGACACGGUCCAGACUCCUACGGGAGGCAGCAGUGGGGAAUAUUGCACAAUGGGCGCAAGCCUGAUGCAGCAAUGCCGCGUGUGUGAAGAAGGCCUUCGGGGUGUAAAGCACUUUCAGCGGGGAGGCGUUACCCGCAGAAGAAGCACCGGCUAACUCCGUGCCAGCAGCCGCGGUAAUUC